rnacentral:rRNA from 1 species
UACGUAGGGUGCAAGCGUUGUCCGGAAUUAUUGGGCGUAAAGAGCUCGUAGGCGGUUUGUCGCGUCUGCUGUGAAAACUCGGGGCUUAACUCCGGGCCUGCAGUGGGUACGGGCAGACUAGAGUGCGGUAGGGGAGACUGGAAUUCCUGGUGUAGCGGUGAAAUGCGCAGAUAUCAGGAAGAACACCCGUGGCGAAGGCGGUUCUCUGGGACGGUACUGACGCUGAGACGCGAAAGCGUGGGGAGCGAACAGG